UUUUAAUUUGGAAAAUACCUAUAGAGAAAAAUAGUUCAUUUACUUUAGGAAACUGCCUGUGAAAUUUAGACAGCAUUGCUGGUUUCGGUAACAUUUUGGUUUAUAACUAAUUUUAUAAUUAGAUUAGACCUCACUAGAUUUGAUAGAUUUAAACACUGACCUUACAGAUAGUAAAAAUAAGCAAGAACAUCUUCAACCACUAGUGGUCUCUGUUCUGAAAGUAUCUUAAUAUUGUUGGUAAAGAAGUCAUGUCAGACCUUAAAUCAUCUUUAUCACUUUUCUCAGAAAUUUCUUUACCAUUUGCAAUUAUUUAUGUAUUUAUUUAUGGGCCAGAAAUGUGCAUAUUACUCAGGGUGCAACUAUUGUACACAGUGCCACAAUGGUACUAGAGAUACAACAUCCUUGUUUACUCUCUUUUCCUCUUCUGCUGAUUCUUGACAUUCAAGUUAUUUUCAUUGCAGUGCUUCUGAGGCUUGAACAUGUUUGUUUUAGUAAUUUAUUUGUUGUUUUCAGAUGUUGGAAGAAAUUUUUGUUAGGAUCAAACUGGAGGGUGCAGUAAAAGUGGAAGAUGAUGGCAAGAGGAUUCUGAAAACUGAGUCAAGGAUCAGGCAUGGGGGAAGGACAGGCAGUGAAAUUGAAAACUAUGGUGAAAUAAAAGUGAAUAAAUUAUAAGACUGAAAUUUAUUGUCAUUUAAUGACAUCCAAAACACCUAAAGAUGGAAUGCUCGAGAUGCCUCUGCUGUAAAGGUCAUGGCAAGUACACUGCUGUAUAUCAGGAAAAUGAAGAUUUAUUUUGUUCCUCACUAAAUUGAUGGUUGAAUUUGCCAUCAUCCAUUAUGAUCCAGAAGUCCAAGUCCGUAAGUCUUUAUGGGUGGUGAUGUUCCAAUUAGUUGCUAAUCUUGUGUGUGUGCAGACUGCUAACUGCUGAAGGACCUUGUAGCCACAAGAAAUUCAUACAGAAUAGCAGCAGCACUGGAUGGUACUAACAAGAUCAGUGAUUACUAUACAUAGAGAAAUUAAAAAGGUGAAAAAAAUUACCUUGUUAAUAACUUUCUAACUUCCUUCUGUGUGAUGUUGUUUUAGUUUUGGCUCUUUUUUUGGUUUUGUUUCGGUUUUUUCAGACCAAAUUUUCCCUUGUCCAUGUCUAUGAAUUUGGGGAUAACCACCAAGAGUUAUUGGGGGUUUCUGCAUAAACACAUGAAUGCAUGAAAAGGUAACACUUUAAAGCAUCAGUAGUUAAAAAGUAUGCGUAUGAUUUUGAUGUGGUUUUUGAAGCCCUGUUUGAGAUGGAGCCCACUGUGACUGGAUAGGAACUCCCAUGGUCCAUGCUGAUUUCCAGCUUCCACCUAGACAAGUGCAACUGUAACCGUACAAGCUGUGGCCUUAGCACACAGUUGCAAGUAGAGCCUGGAGGCAGAUGCACACCCAGGAAGAAAUCCUAAGUGUGCCCUGGGGCAAUCAGACCCAUGGAAAGCAGUCAUUCCAGGUGCCAGGAACAUCCUAAUAUUUCAAUAACAUACACGCUGUUACUUUAUACCUACAGCUGCCAGUGAAAAGCUUAGACAGAUACUACACACGCACACUAUGCUAAAAUAAAACCAAGACAAUUAAACUGCCUGGUUUGGAAAAGAUAAAUUUGGGUAAGCAUUACUUGACUUGAGCAAUCAUGAAAUAUAGAAUAUUUUCUCAAAUAACACAAGCACACUGUAAUGCACCAAUCUAGUCUAUGUACCUGUACAUUGUUGUCAUAUCUACAAGUAUUCUGGGUAAUACUGGUCAUAAUAAAAAGUCAUUCAUUAAA